rnacentral:rRNA from 1 species
AUUGAACGCUGGCGGCAUGCCUUACACAUGCAAGUCGAACGGCAGCGGGGGAGAAGCUUGCUUUUCCUGCCGGCGAGUGGCGAACGGGUGAGUAAUACAUCAGAACGUGCCCUGUAGUGGGGGAUAACUAGUCGAAAGAUUAGCUAAUACCGCAUACGACCUGAGGGUGAAAGUGGGGGACCGCAAGGCCUCAUGCUAUAGGAGCGGCCGAUGUCUGAUUAGCUAGUUGGUGGGGUAAAGGCCUACCAAGGCGACGAUCAGUAGCUGGUCUGAGAGGACGAUCGGCCACACUGGGACUGAGACACGGCCCAGACUCCUACGGGAGGCAGAAGUGGGGAAUUUUGGACAAGGGGCGAAAGCCUGAUCCAGCAAUGCCGCGUGUGUGAAGAAGGCCUUCGGGUUGUAAAGCACUUUUGUCCGGAAAGAAAUGGCUCUGGUUAAUACCUGGGGUCGAUGACGGUACCGGAAGAAUAAGGACCGGCUAACUACGUGCCAGCCGCCGCCGUAAUAC